GAUGAACGCUAGCGGCAGGCCUAAUACAUGCAAGUCGAACGGUAACAUUCUCGCUUGCGAGAGAUGACGAGUGGCGCACGGGUGCGUAACGCGUAUGCAACCUACCCUUAACAGGGGGAUAGCCCGGAGAAAUCCGGAUUAAUACCCCAUAGUAUUAUUUGAAGGCAUCUGAGAAUAAUUAAAGAUUUAUUGGUUAAGGAUGGGCAUGCGUGACAUUAGUUAGUUGGUGAGGUAACGGCUCACCAAGACGAUGAUGUCUAGGGGUUCUGAGAGGAUGAUCCCCCACACUGGCACUGAGAUACGGGCCAG
rnacentral:rRNA from 1 species